rfam:Ovis aries breed Texel chromosome 17, whole genome shotgun sequence.
UCCCUGGUGGCUCAGAUGGUAAAGCGUCUGCCUGCCGUGCGGGAGACCCAGGUUCAAUCCCUGGGUUGGGAA